CGGACGGGUGAGUAACGCGUGAGUAACCUGCCUUACACAAGGGGAUAGCCGUUGGAAACGACGAAUAAUACCCUACGAUGUUUCUAUCUCGCAUGAGAUAUUAACCAAAGUGUUAGCGGUGUAAGAUGGACUUGCGUCUGAUUAGCUAGUUGGUGAGAAAAAGCCCACCAAGGCAACGAUCAGUAGCCGGCUUGAGAGAGUGUACGGCCACAUUGGGACUGAGACACGGCCCAG
rnacentral:rRNA from 1 species